rnacentral:tRNA from 1 species
GUGCCCAUAGCUCAACUGGAUAGAGCGUCUGGCUACGGACCAGGAGGCUGGGGGUUCGAAUCCUCCUGGGCACGCCA